GAUAAGAAUGAAAAGGCUAAACAAAAAAAUAAGGAGAAAGCUCAGGAGUGCCAGAAUGCUGACCACUGUUAUAGUUCUAAAAAAAGAACCUUUGCUCAAACGUCAAAAAAGAAGCAAUGCCCAGCUGCAAUAUUCAUCACUCAAAUUGCAAAAUUUCCAAAUAUGAAGAUUGAAAAAGACAGCUUAUUCUUCAGACGAAGAGCAGCAAAGAUAUUGCACGAAGGGUUGACGGCAAGCACAAUCGCAGCUGCCGACGUUCAAAUGAAUUAUAUCGUGAAGUUACCACCUGUAUCUGAACAUAAAUAUCACAUAAUGGGAAAGGCUGCUGGAAUAAGAGAGCCACUGGACCCGGUUAUAGUGGAAAAACUUUCAGAGCUAGCCCAAGAAGGUGUCCACUCAGUAAGUGAGGCACG